rnacentral:rRNA from 1 species
AGUGAACGCUGGCGGUAGGCCUAACACAUGCAAGUCGAACGGCAGCACAGUAAGAGCUUGCUCUUACGGGUGGCGAGUGGCGGACGGGUGAGGAAUACAUCGGAAUCUACUUUUUCGUGGGGGAUAACGUAGGGAAACUUACGCUAAUACCGCAUACGACCUACGGGUGAAAGCAGGGGAUCUUCGGACCUUGCGCGAUUGAAUGAGCCGAUGUCGGAUUAGCUAGUUGGCGGGGUAAAGGCCCACCAAGGCGACGAUCCGUAGCUGGUCUGAGAGGAUGAUCAGCCACACUGGAACUGAGUCACGGUCCAGACUCCUACGGGAGGCAGCAGUGGGGAAUAUUGGACAAUGGGCGCAAGCCUGAUCCAGCCAUACCGCGUGGGUGAAGAAGGCCUUCGGGUUGUAAAGCCCUUUUGUUGGGAAAGAAAAGCAGCAGGUUAAGACCCCGCUGUUCUGACGGUACCCAAAGAAUAAGCACCGGCUAACUUCGU